UAAUAAGCUAUGAUAGAGAGAAAAAUAUUUAGUUCGUUAACUACAGAGAAUCAACGAGUGAUGAGAGUUGAUGUUAAUGAGAAUAUAUAAUACUCACUCUAGAGCUUUCUAGUUGAAAGAAAUUUUAGUAGACUAGAACGUAACCAGCGAUAUAUGGAUAGGGUUCAUAUUAAAAGAGUAGCCUUUAAAAAGAGGUAUGAUUUUUGUUAAAUCAUAAAUAAGGUGGUACCGCGGAAGCAAAGUCUUUCGUCCUUAUA
rnacentral:ncRNA from 1 species